rnacentral:rRNA from 1 species
GAUGAACGCUGGCGGCGUGCCUAAUACAUGCAAGUCGAGCGAACAGACGAGGAGCUUGCUCCUCUGACGUUAGCGGCGGACGGGUGAGUAACACGUGGAUAACCUACCUAUAAGACUGGGAUAACUUCGGGAAACCGGAGCUAAUACCGGAUAAUAUAUUGAACCGCAUGGUUCAAUAGUGAAAGACGGUUUUGCUGUCACUUAUAGAUGGAUCCGCGCCGCAUUAGCUAGUUGGUAAGGUAACGGCUUACCAAGGCGACGAUGCGUAGCCGACCUGAGAGGGUGAGCGGCCACACUGGAACUGAGACACGGUCCAGACUCCUACGGGAGGCAGCAGUAGGGAAUCUUCCGCAAUGGGCGAAAGCCUGACGGAGCAACGCCGCGUGAGUGAUGAAGGCCUUCGGAUCGUAAAACUCUGUUAUUAGGGAAGAACAAAUGUGUAAGUAACUAUGCACGUCUUGACGGUACCUAAUCAGAAAGCCACGGCUAACUACGUG